AUUUUGCUUUUAUUGCAUCGUUGAUUCAUUGGAUGCGCGUAUGGUUUUGAUUAGGAAAGUUUCUUUAAGUAUUUUUAUUUUUUUUUCUUUAUUAACACUUGCACUAAGAAUGUUUUAUGAAUUGAAUGCAUUAGGAAGUAGUCUACUCUCGCUUAUUUUGUUUUACCGUCAAGCCUUUUCUUUUUAGUUCUUUUAAACUAUUGUUUCGGUGAUGGGUGGUGCUUUUAUCCACGAGCUUAAUUUGUUUUGUUCAUUUGCCUUUGGAUAGUAUGCAUGCUUAAUUAAUUACCGCUUCGUUAUUUUCUUUAGUGAUUUAUUUCUUUUGUUUUGAUGUAAUUCUAAUCUUCAUUUUAAUGUUG
rnacentral:lncRNA from 1 species